rnacentral:rRNA from 1 species
ACACAUGCAAGUCGAACGGCAGCAUGAUCUAGCUUGCUAGAUUGAUGGCGAGUGGCGAACGGGUGAGUAAUACAUCGGAACGUGCCCUGUAGUGGGGGAUAACUAGUCGAAAGAUUAGCUAAUACCGCAUACGACCUGAGGGUGAAAGUGGGGGACCGCAAGGCCUCAUGCUAUAGGAGCGGCCGAUGUCUGAUUAGCUAGUUGGUGGGGUAAAGGCCCACCAAGGCGACGAUCAGUAGCUGGUCUGAGAGGACGAUCAGCCACACUGGGACUGAGACACGGCCCAGACUCCUACGGGAGGCAGCAGUGGGGAAUUUUGGACAAUGGGCGAAAGCCUGAUCCAGCAAUGCCGCGUGUGUGAAGAAGGCCUUCGGGUUGUAAAGCACUUUUGUCCGGAAAGAAAUGGCUCUGGUUAAUACCUGGGGUCGAUGACGGUACCGGAAGAAUAAGGACCGGCUAACUACGUGCCAGCAGCCGCGGUAAUACGUAGGGUCCAAGCGUUAAUCGGAAUUACUGGGCGUAAAGCGUGCGCAGGCGGUUGUGCAAGACCGAUGUGAAAUCCCCGAGCUU